AACAUGCUUAUUCAGACACUGUUUUAUUUCCUAUUUGGGUUUAUGCAUAUGCUUUAAGAUGAACUGUUUUUUCCUCCCCAAGGCAUUGUGUUUCCUGUCAUAGCUGUGAAAAGAUUUGAUUUUAAAAACAGUAUCAUAGCUAUCAAACUAUUUCUUGUUAUGAUUUUAAACCUGUAUUUAACCAGAAUGAUCAUAAUUUAAUCAGAAUCAGAUUGAUCUCAAAGUAAAAAAUGUGCUAACGUCUGAUUUUGUGGUGGCUAUGGUUUAAAAUGAAAUUAUUAUAAUCUUAAUUUAAGUGAUGAAGGCUUUUGAAAGUCUACCAGUAAUCAGUGUUGAGUUCUACUGUAAGCUUAACCCUGCCUGCUUUAAAUGAUUCAAAAUAAUUAACAGUUGAAAAUAUUUUACAUUUAGAAAAGAAACCAAAAAGUAAUCAAAUGUAAUCUGUUACAUUACUUUAAUAAACCAAUUGAAAUAGUUACACUACUUAUUACAUUUUAAAUAGUGUAACCUGUAAACUGUAACCUAUUACAUUUCCAAAGUAACCUUCCCAGCACUGCCUAACAGUAAUGGCGCUUUUCCACUGCAUGGUACGGCUCGGUUCGGCUCGGUACGGUUCAACUCGGCGCGGAACGGUUCGGCUCGCUUCGCUUUUCCACUGCUUGGUACGACUCGACUUGGUACGGCACGGUUUGGUUCGCUUUAGCUCGGUUGCUUUUCCACUGCAGUUAGUACCGCUUCAAAGUGGGUGGGACUGAUCGUUAAUAGUUGCCGCCUCUACUGUCAUGACAUCAUCCUAAACGCGCCAUAUUUCAAACGCACAACACAGAAACAAUGGAGCCUAUCGAGGGAAUGGUGUUCUUGAUUCUCGGCAUGUGGAUGUUUUUAACUUCAAGACGGAGAAAUGUGUUUAAAAUGAGGCUGAUGGCAGCAAAACAAAUUACUGCAAAAAAAAACAAACGAGUCUGGGAACUCUUACAACGAAGCGAAGAUGACGACAUCACUCGAUUUGCCCGACGGCGCACGAGGAUGUAUCAUAUUUUGCAAAGUCGCCGUCACAGACCAUCUGUUUGGACAUUUAACAGAGCUUCUGAGUGGUGGGGUGUGAUUGUUCCUGGGUUUACAAACACGCAGUGGUUGGAGAACUUUAGAAUGUCGGAAGAAACGUUUAUUUACUUGUGCAACAAACUGCGUCCUGCGAUGGAGAGACGGGACACAAACUUCCGCGUGUGUACCUCUAAAGAAGAGAGUAGCCAUUGCACUGUGGAAGCUUGCUACCGGCUCUGAGUACAGAAGUGUUGGACAUCUUUUUGGAGCAAGCAUUUCAACUGUGUGUCGGUGUGUUCAGGAGUUCUGUGCUGCAGCAGAGACGUUGUUGAUACCAGAACAAAUUCGUUUUCCAGAUCAGGAGAGGUUUAAAGAAAUGGCUGCCUACAUUGAGAACAGA
ensembl:lncRNA